ACGGAGGGGGCUAGCGUUGUUCGGAAUUACUGGGCGUAAAGCGCGCGUAGGCGGUUCUUUAAGUCAGAGGUGAAAGCCCGGUGCUCAACAUCGGAAUUGCCUUUGAGACUGGGGGACUAGAAUCCGGGAGAGGUGAGUGGAAUUCCGAGUGUAGAGGUGAAAUUCGUAGAUAUUCGGAAGAACACCAGUGGCGAAGGCGGCUCACUGGACCAGCAUUGACGCUGAGGUGCGAAAGCGUGGGGAGCAAACAGGA
rnacentral:rRNA from 1 species